AUACGGAGGAUCCGAGCGUUAUCCGGAUUUAUUGGGUUUAAAGGGUGCGUAGGCGGGACUGUAAGUCAGGGGUGAAAUACUGCAGCUUAACUGUAGCAUUGCCUUUGAAACUGCCGUUCUUGAGUACAGUUGAGGUAGGCGGAAUGUGGUGUGUAGCGGUGAAAUGCAUAGAUAUACCACAGAACGCCGAUUGCGAAGGCAGCUUACUAAGCUGUUACUGACGCUGAGGCACGAAAGCGUGGGGAUCAAACAGGAUUAGAUACCCUGGUAGUCCACGCUGUAAACGGUGAUUACUGGUUGUUAGCGAUAUAUAGCUAGUGACUGAGCGAAAGCAUUAAGUAAUCCACCUGGGGAGUACGUCGGCAACGAUGAAACUCAAAGGAAUUGACGGGG
rnacentral:rRNA from 1 species